rnacentral:rRNA from 1 species
GUAGGGAAUAUUGCACAAUGGGCGAAAGCCUGAUGCAGCAACGCCGCGUGCGCGAUGAAGGCCUUCGGGUCGUAAAGCGCUUUUCGGGGGGAUGAGGAAGGACAGUACCCCCGGAAUAAGUCACGGCUAACUACGUGCCAGCAGCCGCGGUAAGACGUAGGUGGCGAGCGUUAUCCGGAUUUACUGGGCGUAAAGCGCGUGCAGGCGGUUCGGCAAGUCGGGCGUGAAAUCUCCUGGCUCAACUGGGAGGGGCCGUCCGAAACUACCGGACUUGAGGGCAGUAGAGGGAGGUGGAAUUCCGGGUGUAGUGGUGAAAUGCGUAGAUAUCCGGAGGAACACCGGUGGCGAAAGCGGCCUCCUGGGCUGCCCCUGACGCUCAGACGCGAAAGCUAGGGGAGCGAACGGGAUUAGAUACCCUUGUAGUCC